GAUGAACGCUAGCUACAGGCUUAACACAUGCAAGUCGAGGGGAAACGGCAUUUAGUGCUUGCACUGAAUGGACGUCGACCGGCGCACGGGUGAGUAACGCGUAUCCAACCUACCCAUUACUGUGGGAUAACCUGCCGAAAGGCAGACUAAUACCGCAUAGUCUUCGAUGACGGCAUCAGAUUUGAAGUAAAGAUUUAUCGGUAAUGGAUGGGGAUGCGUCUGAUUAGCUUGUUGGCGGGGUAACGGCCCACCAAGGCGACGAUCAGUAGGGGUUCUGAGAGGAAGGUCCCCCACAUUGGAACUGAGACACGGUCCAAACUCCUACGGGAGGCAGCAGUGAGGAAUAUUGGUCAAUGGGCGCGAGCCUGAACCAGCCAAGUAGCGUGCAGGAUGACGGCCCUAUGGGUUGUAAACUGCUUUUGUAUGGGGAUAAAGUCAAUCACGUGUGAUUGUUUGCAGGUACCAUACGAAUAAGGACCGGCUAAUUCCGUGCCAGCAGCCGCGGUAAUACGGAAGGUCCGGGCGUUAUCCGGAUUUACUGGGUUUAAAGGGAGCGUAGGCCGGAGAUUAAGUGUGUUGUGAAAUGUAGACGCUCAACGUCUGACUUGCAGCGCAUACUGGUUUCCUUGAGUACGCACAACGUUGGCGGAAUUCGUCGUGUAGCGGUGAAAUGCUUAGAUAUGACGAAGAACUCCGAUUGCGAAGGCAGCUGACGGGAGCGCAACUGACGCUUAAGCUCGAAGGUGCGGGUAUCGAACAGG
rnacentral:rRNA from 1 species